GCCUCCGUAGCUCAACUGGAUAGAGCGUUGCGCUUCGGACGCAAAGGUUGCGGGUUCGAAUCCUGCCGGGGGCU
rnacentral:tRNA from 3 species